UACGGAGGGUGCAAGCGUUGUCCGGAUUUAUUGGGUUUAAAGGGUGCGUAGGCGGCCAUUUAAGUCUGGGGUGAAAGCCCGUUGCUCAACAACGGAACUGCCCUGGAAACUGGAUGGCUUGAGUACAGACGAGGGUGGCGGAAUGGAUGCUGUAGCGGUGAAAUGCAUAGAUAGCAUCCAGAACCCCCGAUUGCGAAGGCAGCUGCCUAGACUGUAACUGAUGCUGAGGCACGAAAGCCGUGGGGAAGCGAACAGGG
rnacentral:rRNA from 1 species